rnacentral:piRNA from 1 species
UGCAGCAGUCCAAAUAGGUUU